rnacentral:rRNA from 1 species
CCCUUAGAUGUUCUGGGCCGCACGCGCGCUUCACUGAUGCAUUCAACGAGUCUAAAACCUGGUCUGAUAGGGCUGGGUAAUCUUUUGAAUGUGCAUCGUGAUUGGGAUAGAUGAUUGCAAUUCUUCAUCUUCAACGAGGAAUGCCUAGUAAACGCAAGUCAUCAGCUUGCAUUGAUUACGUCCCUGCCCUUUGUACACACCGCCCGUCGCUCCUACCGAUUGAAUGUUCCGGUGAAUAAUUCGGACUGCGGCAUUGACCGGUUCCCGAUCGUUGCUGCGGAAAGUUUAGUGAACCUUAUCACUUAGAGGAAGGAGAAGUCGUAACA